UAUGAAAACACGCAAUCGAUUGAUCCUACUAAAUACCCAAUAUUCUUUCGUAUUCUUAUUAGAUAAUAUUGUCCUAUUUCUUGUUAGAGUUCCAUCAUGGCGGCGUUACAGGACGGACGCGUCGCCGUGUGCUCCACAUUUUGUGCAAUUAUUGCUGAUUUAUUUUAUCGGCGAAAAAUUUAUAUCUCACUUGUUAAUAAGUGAACGGUAAACAAAAUGUGAUAUUAAUUAAGACUGGGGACCGAAUAACUAUCUUGUAAUUAGUGGAGAAAUGUGCUCGGUCAUACCAUGGAGGUUAUCUUCGUUUUUCCAGAAGUGGCGUGUGUUAUACUCUAUGGCCAAAUGGCAGACUCAACUGUUACUCACAAUUAUACGAUGGAAGCGUCGCCGUCGGCGCAAGUUGACACUAUUUUGGCUAUUACAUUCAUGCCGCCCUGUGAUUGGUUGCUGGACUUGGACAUGAACUACGUGUAGUGCUAAAAGUUUUCUUCUGGUGACUAAAUUCCAUGAUGGUUACCCGUGAGGAAAAAUAUUCGGAAGAUAAACUAGCCUCCCGUUUGGAUCUCCGGGUGGAGGCUUUCCCAGGGGCGGUUAGCGUGGUGAGAAGCUCGCGCAUAGCAAUAUUGAACACAUCUAGCGCGAUCCCAAAGGUGACAAAUAGAUGUACUUCCGGCGUAGGCCAGCGUAGGAGCGCAGCAACACGUCGAGCGAGUGCACGUUCGUUGUCCGAGGCUACUCACCGAGAGCCCCUCCGCUACGUUCCUAGCCCCGCACAACCCGGACUGCAUCAGGUGAUAGCCAGUUUUCGUGAAACUAUAGAGUUGUCUUGGAAAGGUGCGAUAGGAGUUUGCCGAAGUCAUCUUCUAAAGCUGUACAAACAAGAACCGUAAACACUAAAUCGGCCGCGAUUAGAUUAGGGAAACACAGCGCCAGAGCUGCCGCGAUAAGUCCUUCCAAUUUAAAUAGGAAACAGAUCGAACAAAACCCAGGGUACGAAUCGACAAGCACGCGACCGCGAACUCGAGUAUACACCUGUAUGCACCCCUCGCAAAACUUACUGGACGCAUCCCCCCAGUCUCUAGAAAUAGCCUCAACCCCCGCGAUAAAAGCGCAUACGACAAGACCUUACAUUCGAUAAUCAAGCAAGACCGCGUAGAAACUCCUCGGGAUUCGCCAGAAACGGUCUUCGAAAUAAGCGACACUUCAAUGGGAAUUCUUGAAACGGACACUACAUGCGUAACCCCUGAAACCACCGGCGUGAUAGGUGUGGAACAUUAAUACAAAGCACCUUCGCUGAACUCUGGGUAACUAUUAACGGUAAUGAAGCGAUCUCGGUUAGGGACCCUCUCCCUCCCGUAAUUUCUGCCUUUUCAAAAAUCCGGUUGUUGCAAUUAAAUAUGGGACGCUCUAGAACGGUAACAGGCGAAGUUCGCGAACUUUUAUUAGCCAGAAGUGCUUGGAUGUGCUGUUUUUUAUAGAAUUUGAGAUAAGUUAGGUAACGGAACUGCGGUUGCGCCGACCAACCCGAAUAUCGAGUUAUUAUUCAUCUCGCAGCUUAACACUCUGCACUGCGUCUGUGCAGAAGUGCAAACACCCGGCUCCUCUUUCUACGUCGUUUCGCACUACUUUCAGUACAGCGAUGAAAUAGAGGAGCAGCUUAGGCACUUGAAAUCGUUACUUCGUGCCCUAAGGGGGAAGAGACUAAUCGUAUUACUGGAUGCCAACGCGCGAUCUUCUCUCUGGGGUCCUCAGAGUACAGACGAAAGAGGCUCGAAGCUGGAAGCCCUCAUCCGGGCAUCCGGGCUGAAAGUCUGAAAUAACGUAGAGCAGCCACCCAUCUUUUGGACGACGAGAGGUUCCUUAUAUAUCGACGUAACCCUUUUGUCACAAUCCAUGAGCCGACUUAUUGGCCAAUGGAAGAUUAGAACAGACUGGACGUCCAGGGACCACAAUUCUAUAGAUAUCGCGAUACAUCCUCUGAAGCCUGAGAACCGACUGGGACCUGUUCGCUGAGCGCAUGCUCUCCCUCGCCGCGGCAAGACUAGAGGGAAGCAGUUUAGGAUCGGCUUCAGAAGUAGAGACACGAGCCAACGUGCUCACAAGUGUCCCAUAAGUAGCAUGCUCUGAAUCUAUUCCUCGCAAAAAGGCUCAUCGGAAGUCAAACCCAUGGUGGACUUCAGCGUUAACGAACCAGAAGAAAGUGGUAGCUCGGUUAAGACGCGCGUUCCAACGAGAAAAGGAUGAUCAGGCAUUUGAGGAGCCUCGAGCUAUACCGUUCUUCCUUGCGGGCCUACAGUAAUGAGGUACGACGGGUCAAACUAUAAAUAGCGGGAGAAAAUUCGUCUCGGAACAGGCCAACGCGGAACCGUGGAUUUAUAUUUAUAAGCAACAAGCUAGUAAACUUCCGGUCGAAAGAGUUAUAAACACUCUUAACCCAUUCGAGACCGCGAAGUUUUUUGAACACGGUCCUUAGGAUCCAAAUUUUUUCUUUUUCAUUCUGUUGUUCAUUUUCAGUAAAAAAAACUUGUUUACUAUGGAAAUCAGCCAAUUCGUAAGUCAAUUCGCAUAAAUAAGACGAUUGCACACCGUCUGUGCAAUUGGUUCCUGCGAAGAAUUUUCUCUAAGACUGAACUGUUACACGUCGUCGUUGGUGCUCAGUUUUCACGGAUAAGGAGACACAGAGUGAUGGAAACGAAUUUCUUACUUAUUCACGGAUAAAGAUGGGUCAAAGAAAAGAAAACAUUUAUUAUCUAAGCCAGCGCUUAAGAUAAUAAGAUUUAAGGUAUUAUUUCUUUACAUGUAAGAAAUUCUGAAUACGCAGACCCCGCUGGCUUAAGAUAAUGAUUUUCGUUUAGGUGGUAUGAAUAAAAGGCGAUACUAUUGAUGUUAAUGAUAGAUUUGAAAAAUGGAAUUAGAUAUAUGGGUUCCUGCAAUGAUAUUUUUUAAAAAUGUAGAUUUCGAAAAUUCAAACAAAACAUUUUGUUUUAUUUGGUACAAAUGAAAAUUGAAUGACAAAUUAUGUUUUUGUGUACUUUACAGACACUAUUAAUUAAAAAACAUCUUUUAUUUAGAUUUCUUAAUAUUUUACUCAGAAUAACUGAAAAUUGCUCAUCAUUACUAUUGCACCCCGGUGUGCAGCCGGUCUCAUAGCCUCGUAAAGGCAUUGCACACACGGUGUGCAAUUGGUCUCGAAUGGGUUAAACGAGACGGCGAGAAGACCAUGAACGUCCAAGAUACGGCAAGAGUUCAGCUUUUCAGACGCAUAAUUGUCGGUAUCUUCUUUGGCUAUUCUUAGCGGGUCCUCUGCACAUGAAUCAUCGUGUAUCGAAAAAUCGCUAUCAUUCUCCGAGCUACUGAAAAUCCGUUUCUUGCUCUUCCUAACAGGAAUGAUGUCAGAGUCAUCGGUGUCACUCGGACAACUUGGAUAGGAAAGGAACGGAAGGAAGUUGGAGAGAGAGAAAGAAUAGAGAAAGAGAUGACAGAAGAACAAAGAAAGGAAAAGCCGUACGAGAACAUUCAUACACCAUUCAUACAGUUCCAUUUAGUCGCCUCUUACGACAAGCAGGAAGUACUGUGGGAGUAUUCUACUAUCCCCUACCCACAGGGAAAAAAACCUUCAUUAUAUAUUCCUUCCUUUCUUUUAUAAGCCCCUCUACCUAAGAUACUUUUACUAAAGUACUAUAUUAAAAGAUUAUAUUUUCUCCCUUACCUUCUAAGUACUUUCAUUUAAAGUAUUUCCACUAAAGUACUUUGAUUACAUUUUAUUGAUUAUUUCCUUUUUCUUCUAAGUCCUGUUACCCAAGGCUCUUUUACCCAAGUACUUUGACCAUAUGUUUCAUAAUUAUGUUCCUCCUUUUCUUUCUAAGUCCCUUUUACUCAAGGUGCUUUGAUAGAGUGCUUUGAUUAUAUGUACCUUAUUCUUUUUUUAAGUCCUUUUAUUCAAAGCGCUCUCACUAAAGUACUUUUUUAAAUGUUCUCUCUCUUCUUUCUAGGUUCUUACUUAUAGUGUUUUACUAAAGUACAUUGUCACAUGUACUUUCUCUUAUUCCCUACGUCCUUCCACCUAAAGUAUUUUCACUAUUUCUCUUCUAAGCACUUUUACUUAAAGUACCUUUACCAAAGAACCCUGUUUAUAUGUUCUUCUUCUUCAAUCCAAGUUAGACUUAAAGUACACCUACUAAAGAACCUUGAUUAUAUGUCCUUUUCUCCUUCUAAGUUCUUUGGCUGAAAGCACUUCUAUUAAAGAACUUUGAUCUUUUAUUUUUUUUUUUCUUUGAUCUGUUUUUGAUCUUUUAUUUUUUUUCCUCUCUACGCCCUCUAAUCAGAAGUAUCUUAACUAAGUACGUUGAUCAUACGUUCUUCUUCUCUUCUCUAAGUACUUUACUUAAAGUAUUAGCACCAAAAACCUUUAUUACACGUUCUUUCUUUUCACUCUAAGUCCUUUGACUUAAAGUACUUCUACUAAAGAACUCCGAUUGUGUUCUUUCCUCCCUCUUCUAAGUCCCCUUAUUUAAAGUACUUUUUUAAAAGUACUUUGAUUAUAUGCUCUUUCCUUUAGUUUCUAAGUCAUUCUACUUACAGCACUGCUUAAAUUAUAUGAUCAUCCUUUCUUUUCAAGUCCCCUUACUCAAAGUACUUUGCUAAUGUACUUUGAUUGUAUGUUCUUUCUUUUCUCCUCCAAAUCCUUUCACUUAAAGUAUUUUUACUAAAGUACUUAAUCAUACGCUCUUUCUUUUUUUUUCCAAGUCGUCUCACUUAAAGUACUCUUACUAAAGUACUUGGUUAGUUAGUUCCAAAACCAUACUAAAUAAUACGAUGGUCUGUAAAUGCACGUUUCUACCACAAAGUAGCGCUGAGUAGCUGGUAGCCAAUGUCCAAAACGGUUCGGAAUGCAAAAAGUUAAAAGGUAUUCAAGAAAAUGGAAUCGAUUUGUAGCGCAGUUUUCCAGUUCACGUAGAUUUGGAAAUAGUAUUGAAGUACGUAGUAUACGUCUUAUUAUUGUUUUUUGCAACACAAUACGAAAGAUACUAAGAAUAGAACAAAGCGAGUAAUAAAAACAAAACGUGGCUACACGCUUGUCUUGAGUAAAAUAUGAUAUUUUUAAAUUAUGGCCCGGCCGUCAAUUCUCUUACAGAGACGUAACAGUGAAACUUUCAGAAUCGCGUUAAGAGGAAGAAGAAAAAAUAUAAACGAAACAAGAGGACUAACCGACGAGACGUCGUUGUAACUUUGUGAAUAGAAGGGAUAUUCCCUUGAAUAGUUUUCAUUCGUGCUUGGUAUCGCUGUUUUCAACAGCUCAUUUUAACCCAGAAUUAUUGGUGAUAAUUAUAAGUAACUUAGUUUUUCAUUUACGUUAUGUUCCUUGCUAUUUAAUAGUAUUUACUCGAAUAAUUUAUAUUUCUUUAAUCGUAUCUUUCAAUUGUACCAAAUUCCAGCUCGACUCUUCACGAUUGAAUCAAGAGGACAUCUUUUGAGGACUCUCAUCCCAGAGCUAUCGUAAUGGAUCACGGAUGGAAAAAAGUGAACAACACUGAUUGCAUCGCACGAUGAUUAAACGUGGAAGAGAAGAUUAUGAAGAAAAGAAAGGAAUGUAGGAAGAUGCGAUGUAGCUGAUAACGAAAGUUGGACAUCUCGAAGAUCCCUGCAUUCUGUUAAAGUCAGAGUGGGAUAAUGCAGUUAUAUUUUUCUCUAUCGAGAGAAGAAGACCCGUCCCACCUUUGGGAUUAUUCCCUUUAUUAUUAGCGUACAACAAUCGAUUUCUCACCUUCGGAGAUAGUUGCGACGUCGUUCGGAAAUUGGAAAGUAGAAAGAAAAUUAUUAGUAUCAUCGUUGUAAUAAGAAAGCAUUGAAAAUAUUUUAAAUGUUUGGUGUAAAAAUAUGUAUAUGUAAUGUUCAGAGAAACAGACUAUUGUUUAUUUAAUAAAAGUAAUAUAUAAAUAGAUCAUGCGCAUCAUCUAGCGUGAACGUUGCCGUAAUAGUUUCCGGAGACCUCGAUGUUCGCAAUUUCUCUCCACCAUGGCAUUCAACGCGUUAAAACAUUAAAUUAUGUCAACAAAUUAAUUUAUACAAACUUUUACAGUACGUACAUUCGUUCGCCACUUUUUCUCAAGAUACAUUUUAUUUUUACCUGCUGAUAUUAUGUUGUUACAUUAUAGUGCUUAUUAUUAUUCCUAAUAUCAAAAUAAUUAAUAUUGUGUAAAUAUUAUUACCAACAUCCCUAUUCUUAU